rnacentral:lncRNA from 1 species
GUCCUACGAGCUGAACCGCGCGCUGCUUGCCGAGCUCGCGCCUACGAGGCCCCGGGACGCGGGAAGUGGCCCCAGGCCCGGGCCGCGUCACCACCGUAGCUGCCUGGUCAAGAUCUCCAGGGGCCUCUCUCCCCGUCUUCCACGCACAAUCCAGAACGAAAAUCCUGGGCCGCGUGGGCUUCGGACAUCCAGCUUCCGGGUUGUUAGGUGUUGAGGUUGAAAAGAAAUCAUCGUUUCUGUGGUGUGCAGGAGGCAGGGGAGGGGGACCUCUUAGUGUUGUCACACUUAGAACUAACAUAAAGCGCUAGUUUCCUAAUUCGGAGCGCGACCGAAAUAAAGGAAUGUGUACUUCAGAAGCCUCAUCCAAAAUACAGGCAACUGGCGAAGGAAGGAUUUGUGGUUGCUAAGCAGAGGCAGAGCAUGUUUAGCUCUGUAACUUAGGAUGUUGACUUAAGUUCAGGAAUGUAACCCUGAUAGAAUAAGCAGAGUAUUUUCAUUGUGCAGCUCACCUGGGGGAGGGGGAUUGUUUUCCUUGUGAGUGAAGCCCUAGAUUUCCCAUUACUCCUUCCUACUGAUGGAUGUUAU